rnacentral:rRNA from 1 species
CAUGCAGUCGAGCGGUAGAGAGAAGCUUGCUUCUCUUGAGAGCGGCGGACGGGUGAGUAAUGCCUAGGAAUCUGCCUGGUAGUGGGGGAUAACGCUCGGAAACGGACGCUAAUACCGCAUACGUCCUACGGGAGAAAGCAGGGGACCUUCGGGCCUUGCGCUAUCAGAUGAGCCUAGGUCGGAUUAGCUAGUUGGUGAGGUAAUGGCUCACCAAGGCGACGAUCCGUAACUGGUCUGAGAGGAUGAUCAGUCACACUGGAACUGAGACACGGUCCAGACUCCUACGGGAGGCAGCAGUGGGGAAUAUUGGACAAUGGGCGAAAGCCUGAUCCAGCCAUGCCGCGUGUGUGAAGAAGGUCUUCGGAUUGUAAAGCACUUUAAGUUGGGAGGAAGGGCAUUAACCUAAUACGUUGGUG